rnacentral:tRNA from 10 species
GGACGCUUAGCUCAGCCGGGAGAGCACCUCCCUUACAAGGAGGGGGUCACUGGUUCGAUCCCAGUAGCGUCCACCA